rnacentral:rRNA from 1 species
CUCAGUACGGCGAGUGAAGCGGCAAGCUCAAAUUUGAAAUCUGGGGGUCCGAGUUGUAAUUUGCAGAGAGUGCUUCGGGCGAGGCCGCGGUCUAAGUCCGCUGGAACAUGGUGUCAUAGAGGGUGAGAACCCCGUACGCGACCGUGGUCCGAGCCCAUGUGAAGCCUUUUCGAUGAGUCGAGUUGUUUGGGAAUGCAGCUCUAAGUGGGUGGUAAAUUUCAUCUAAAGCUAAAUACUGGCUGGAGACCGAUAGCGCACAASUAGAGUGAUCGAAAGAUGAAAAGCACUUUGAAAAGAGAGUUAAAAAGUACGUGAAAUUGUUGAAAGGGAAGCGCUUGCGACCAGACCUGCCCGUAGGCGAUCAGCCUCUGUUCUCAGGGGUGCACUCGCUCUACGAUCAGGCCAGCAUCGGUUUGGGCGGUCGGAUAAAGGCCUUGGGAAUGUAGCUCCCUCUCGGGGGAGUCUUAUAGCCCUCGUUGCAAUGCGGCCAGCCGGGACCGAGGACCGCGCUUCGGYUAGGAUGCUGGCGUAAUGGUUGCAAGCGACCCGUCUUGAAACACGGACCAAGGAGUCUAACAUCUAUGCGAGUGUUUGGGUGUCAAACCCAUACGCGGAAUGAAAGUGAACGGAGGUGAGAACCCUUAAGGGCGCAUCAUCGACCGAUCCAGAUGUCUUCGGAUGGAUUUGAGUAUGAGCAUAGCUGUUGGGACCCGAAAGAUGGUGAACUAUGCCUGAAUAGGG